rnacentral:rRNA from 1 species
CCUACGGGUGGCAGCAGUGGGGAAUAUUGGGCAAUGGUCGCAAGCCUGACCCAGCAAAGCCGCGUGAAGGAAGAAGGCCCUCGGGUUGGUAACUUCUUUUUUCAAGGACGCAACAACUGACGGUACUUGCUGAAUAAGCCACGGCUAACUACGGGCCAGCAGCCGCGGCAAUACGUAGGUGGCAAGCGUUAUCCGGAUUUACUGGGUGUAAAGGGCGGGUAGGCGGGACUGCAAGUCAGAUGUGAAAACCAUGGGCUCAACCCAUGGCCUGCAUUUGAAACUGUAGGUCUUGAGUGUUGGAGAAGCAGGCGGAAUGCGGGGUGUAGCGGUGAAAUGCGUAGAUAUACGGAGGAACACCAGUGGCGAAGGCGGCCUGCUGGACAAUAACUGACGCUGAGGCGCGAAAGCGUGGGGAGCGAACAGGAUUAGAUACCCUGGUAGUC